UACAGAGGUGGCAAGCGUUGUUCGGAAUUACUGGGCGUAAAGGGCUCGUAGGCGGCCAACUAAGUCAGACGUGAAAUCCCUAGGCUCAACCUAGGAACUGCGUCUGAUACUGGAUGGCUUGAAUCCGGGAGAGGGAUGCAGAAUUCCAGGUGUAGCGGUGAAAAUGCGUAGAUAUCUGGAGGAAUACCGGUGGCGAAGGCGGCAUCCUGGACCGGCAUUGACGCUGAGGAGCGAAAAGCCAGGGGAGCAAACGGG
rnacentral:rRNA from 1 species